AGAGUUUGAUCAUGGCUCAGGAUAAACGCUGGCGGCGUGCCUAACACAUGCAAGUCGAACGCAUUCGAGCAAUCGGAUGAGUGGCGGACGGGUGAGUAACACGUGGGUAACCUACCCUGUGGUGAGGAAUACUGGCGAGAAAUCGCUAACAAUACCGCAUAGGUUUCGAAAGAAACAAAGCUUCGUGAAGAAGCGCCACACGAUGGGCUCACGCCCGAUUAGCUGGUUGGUGGGGUAAUGGCCUACCAAGGCGACGAUCGGUAGCUGGUCUGAGAGGAUGAUCAGCCACACUGGGAUUGAGAACGGCCUAGACUCCUACGGGAGGCAGCAGUGAGGAGUAUUCCGCAAUGGGGGCAAGCCUGACGGAGCAACGCCGCGUGCAGGAAGAAGGUCUUCGGAUCGUAAAUUGCUUUUCCCAGGGACGAGAACGGACGGUACCUGGGGAAUAAGUCCCGGCUAACUACGUGCCAGCAGCCGCGGUAAUACGUAGGGGGCGAGCGUUAUCCGGAAUUAUUGGGCGUAAAGGGUGUGCAGGCGGCUUGCCAAGUUCGCGGCGACAGCCAUCGGCUUAACCGAUGGAGGACUGCGAAAACUGGUAAACUUGAGAGCGAGAGAGGGACAUGGAACUCCGGGUGGAGCAGUGAAAUGCGUAGAGAUCCGGAAGAACACCNAGGCGAAGGCAAUGUCCUAGCUCGUAUCUGACGCUCAGGCACGAAAGCUAGGGGAGCGAACAGGAUUAGAUACCCUAGUAGUCC
rnacentral:rRNA from 1 species